rnacentral:tRNA from 1 species
GGCAGUGUGGCCUAAUAGAUAAAGCACUAGACUGGGGCUCAGGAAAUCUGGAUUCCUGUCCCAGCUCUGCCA